GAUGAACGCUGGCGGCGUGCCUAAUACAUGCAAGUCGAGCGAAUGGAUUAAGAGCUUGCUCUUAUGAAGUUAGCGGCGGACGGGUGAGUAACACGUGGGUAACCUGCCCAUAAGACUGGGAUAACUCCGGGAAACCGGGGCUAAUACCGGAUAACAUUUUGAACCGCAUGGUUCGAAAUUGAAAGGCGGCUUCGGCUGUCACUUAUGGAUGGACCCGCGUCGCAUUAGCUAGUUGGUGAGGUAACGGCUCACCAAGGCAACGAUGCGUAGCCGACCGGGGAGGGGGAUCGGCCACACUGGGACUGAGACACGGCCCAGACUCCUACGGGAGGCAGCAGUAGGGAAGCUUCCGCAAUGGACGAAAGUCUGACGGAGCAACGCCGCGUGAGUGAUGAAGGCUUUCGGGUCGUAAAACUCUGUUGUUAGGGAAGAACAAGUGCUAGUUGAAUAAGCUGGCACCUUGACGGUACCUAACCAGAAAGCCACGGCUAACUACGUGCCAGCAGCCGCGGUAA
rnacentral:rRNA from 1 species